UGUAAAAAUUCUCUUUUUUACUAUUGAAAACUGACAUAGCUAACGAAAUAAUCAAACAAUUACAUGUGGUAUGUCACGUGUAUCUCAUUUUGACGUAUAAUGAUUAGUUCUUAAGAGUAAAAAUGGAUGGAAUAUUUAACA
rfam:Gossypium raimondii Chr07_contig_34, whole genome shotgun sequence.